UACAGAGGGGGGCAAGCGUUGUUCGGAAUUACUGGGCGUAAAGGGCGCGUAGGCGGCCUGUUAAGUCGAACGUGAAAUCCCCGGGCUCAACCCGGGAACUGCGUCCGAUACUGGCAGGCUUGAAUCCGGGAGAGGGAUGCGGAAUUCCAGGUGUAGCGGUGAAAUGCGUAGAUAUCUGGAGGAACACCGGUGGCGGAAGGCGGCAUCCUGGGACCGGUAUUGACGCCUGAGGCGCGAAAGCCAGGGGGAGCAAAACGGG
rnacentral:rRNA from 1 species